rnacentral:rRNA from 1 species
UACGUAGGGGGCAAGCGUUAUCCGGAUUUACUGGGUGUAAAGGGAGCGCAGACGGUCAUGCAAGUCUGAAGUGAAAACCUGAGGCUUAACCACAGGCAUGCUUUGGAAACUGCAGGACUAGAGUACCGGAGGGGUAAGCGGAAUUCCUAGUGUAGCGGUGAAAUGCGUAGAUAUUAGGAAGAACACCGGUGGCGAAGGCGGCUUACUGGACGGUAACUGACGUUGAGGCUCGAAAGCGUGGGGAGCAAAC